GGAAACAAGCACCCGUUUGCGCCCACCCAAAAUUUCCCCAAAUUUUCGUCCCUAAAAAGCUAAUACCUAUUAACCCCAAAUUUUCGUCCCCAGAAACCUAAUAUCCAUUAACCCAAAAUUUUUGUCCCAGAAUGUCAUCUUCUUCUCUCAAAUAAGAUUUUUGCAAUCUUCACUCAAAUUUCCCUCAAAACUGAUGGCUAGAUCCCUCUUUCUCUCUCUAAUCAAAUCCAUCUCCACCGUCCAUCUCCACCCCCGCCACAAGCGUCACCUCCUUCCCCUCAACCCAUCGUCCCGCCUCGUAUCUCUCCGCACUCAAUCCAACCAAACCGACCUCUCCGACCUUUCCACUUCUUCCGACUCCACCAUCGGCCCUUUGCACUCGACUUCAUUAUUGAUGCAAUGUUUUGUUUUAAUUAGCUGUUUGCUUACUCAUUUGCUCAAGUUCUUUAGAAUUUUGAUGUGUUAUAUUUUGUAUUUUUUAAUGUUUCAAAUGGGUUAACUGUUUUGUGUGCUUGUAUUGUUGGUUGCGUUACUUGGAAUUGGUACCCAGAUGGAUUUCAUAUCACCUACUGUAAGUACUCGCUACUCCGUGUUUAUCCACUGGCUUGUAAUUAUAUAAUCAUCUUCGAUUCCUAAAAUUACUUGGGGCUUUGUGACUUUUAUUAUGUUAUAAUUUGUAAAUAGGAUAGUAUGAUGUUGAAUAAACAUUCAGGUAGUAUAUGUGCUUGAAAUACAGAUUUUUAAAUGUUGUAUGCUGUGUCAUGAGUAUUUUGAAACUCAGAGUAGGCAUUGUUGCGUGAAAUGAUAAAAGUUUCAAAGUGAUAAACUUAAGAUUAUAGGUUCAAAUUGUAAGUAUAUAUGAAAUGUUUGGACAACCCUCAUUCGACUUGACUUUUGAUGUUGCGUAUUUUUGUCUUUUUUCUAAUUAAAUUAGGUUUAGUGUGUUAUUUGAUAUUUAUGUGAACUUGAGCUGCUAUCAGAAACUUUAAUGUUUUGUUUUCUUGUAAGUGAUGCAGUUUCUUCUUUGGUGGCUGGAAAGUUUGGUAUGUGGUUGUUGAAUGAAAUCUACUUAUUCAUUUAAUUGGUAAACAUUAUUCUUGAGUACAUGCAUGCUCUUAUGUGUCAGCAUCUUUCUUCAAGUUAACUUAUCAUAACUUACAGCAUUAUAUUUUAUUGACAUUGUUGAAGGUUGAAUUUGCAUUCUGACUCAAAUCAUUUAAUUAUAAAUUUGAAGUGUCUCCGUAGAGCCACAACCUCAACUGUGUAGAUUGUAAAUGUUUAAAACUCAAUUUUUAUCAUAUGAAGAUUAAUUAGUGCUUUGCUAAAAUGAGUUGAUUGAGAAAGUUCUGCUGUUACUUAAAAGAUGCUGAGUAUCUCAUUGAUCUCUGAAGAGACAUGGGAAAAAAUGACUUCAAUAUAGACCAUCAAAUUUUCAUUUCUUUUGUUUACUUUCUUUUAUCUAUUUCAACCCUGGCAAGACCCAUGACGUCCAUUGUUGUUUGCAAUCAUGUUGAAUAAUUGAUUACUAAGAGGGAAAAGUAUUCUUUCUUGACUUAUUAGAUGCAUCCAUUGUAGUUGAGCUAAUAUUAUGGUGUCUACCAGAAUUGAUUCCCUCUAAUUUUUAUUUAUUAUUAAAUCACAUUUUCUUUCUUUUCCUUUCUUAAUCAGUUGUUGCAUUUGCCUUUUAUAUUUUAUGCCAGGAGACAUGGGUACUAUUUAUUAAUGGGUUCAGGUCACACAAUCAGGGUUCUUCCCUAAAGCCUCAUGUCAUAGGAAACCUUUUACAUGACUGGUAUUGGAUAAAUAACAUAAUACACAUCUAUUCUAAAGCAUAUAAAUGUUUCUUUGAAUCAUAUAUCCUAUCUGGUUUUUGAGACAACUACUGCCUUUAUAAUUUAAUCAUUUUCAAAGAUCCCUUUAUAAAUUUAAAAAAAAAAAAAAAAAAAAAAACAAACAAACUAAAUUAUCAAUUCGUGUAACUGAAAAUGGAAAAGUUAGUGUCCGUCAAAUACUUUCUUUAUGUCUGUUUGGUCAUUUUUAACAGUCUGUAUUUAAAUUCCUGAUAUUUUUACCUUGUAUAUAAUUCUUUAGGUGGUUGGAGUACAGCUGAAUCCUCAAUUUAUGGGCAUUGAUCUCAUGCUUUGCUGCAAUUAAUUAUUGCCCUUACAAUCAAAACUCUUCUUCUGUCUUCUUCUGAGUUUUGGUUGUGUUGAUCAGCCUGAGUAAUGGCAUCGUUGACAUAAAUGUGUCUCAUAUACAUGAUGAGUGUGGCAGGAGCCAGAAAAGCUUGUCAAAGUCAAUAUGGGUGGUUGAAGGAAGCAUUGGAUAGAUUAGUAGAGCAACUAACGUCGCAACGACAACAACUUGAUGAGGAAUAACUGGUAAAUCAUUCUUUGAAGCUAAUCAAGAAAAUCUGAAUUGUAAAUAAAAUGUUGUUGAAGACAAAGAGAUUGCAUUUAGGGCGGAUAAACUUGAGCUCGAAGUAGUAGGGAUGGAAGCAACCAAGAAACUAUGACAACAUUGAAGAUUUUGGGCUAUAGGAAAGAAAAAAGUUGUUUGCAAUUUUGUUUCUUGUUUCACUCUUUUGGGAUUGGAAUCCUGAAACUUACUUAGAAGAUUCUGUGGUAGUGGGUAAGUAGGAAUUGUAAUGUCGACAGUUUUUGUUAAUAAAGAAGUGCAAUUUGAUUUGGGAAA